AACCCAUUGUGAGGGCACCUUCUCAAUAAGUCCUUAUACCUCUCCCAUGCACCAUAUAGAGUCUCUAAAUCCAGUUGCAUGAAAGAAGAGAUAUCAUUCCUUAACUU
rfam:Gossypium hirsutum cultivar TM-1 chromosome 15, whole genome shotgun sequence